rnacentral:rRNA from 1 species
GACGAACGCUGGCGGCGUGCUUAACACAUGCCAGUCGAACGGGCCCGCCCCUGUUUUUGGGGGUGGGUUGAGUGGCGAACGGGUGAGUAUCACGUGAGUAACCUGCCCCCUGCUCCUGGAUAACUGCUUGAAAGGGCGGCUAAUACGGGGUGUGCCGGCUGGUCCGCAUGGGCCUGGUCGGGAUAGUUUCAUCUUCGGGUGUUUCGGUGGGGGAUGGGCUCGCGGCCUAUCAGCUUGUUGGUGGGGUGAUGGCCCACCAAGGCGGUGACGGGUAGCCGGCCUGGGAGGGUGGGCGGCCACACUGGGACUGAGACACGGCCCAGACUCCUGCGGGAGGCAGCAGUGGGGGGUAUUGCACAAUGGGCGGAAGCCUGAUGCAGCGACGUCGCGUGAGGGAUGGAGGCCUUCGGGUUGUGAACCUCUUUCUCCGGUGGUGAAGGCCCUGUCCGUUGCGGCGGGGUUGACGGUAGCCGGGUAUGAAGCGCCGGCUAACUACGUG